UACGUAGGGGGCUAGCGUUGUCCGGAAUCAUUGGGCGUAAAGCGCGUGUAGGCGGUUCGGUAAGUCCGCUGUGAAAGUCGGGGGCUCAACCCUCGGAUGCCGGUGGAUACUGUCGGACUAGAGUACGGAAGAGGCGAGUGGAAUUCCUGGUGUAGCGGUGAAAUGCGCAGAUAUCAGGAGGAACACCAAUGGCGAAGGCAGCUCGCUGGGACGUGACUGACGCUGAGACGCGAAAGCGUGGGGAGCAAACAGG
rnacentral:rRNA from 1 species